UGGAGUAUUGUUUCUGCUGCCCGG
rnacentral:miRNA from 1 species